rnacentral:rRNA from 1 species
UACGAAGGGGGCUAGCGUUGCUCGGAAUCAUUGGGCGUAAAGCGCGUGUAGGCGGCCCGGUAAGUCCGCUGUGAAAGUCGGGGGCUCAACCCUCGAAUGCCGGUGGAUACUGUCGGGCUAGAGUACGGGAAGAGGCGAGUGGAAUUCCUGGUGUAGCGGUGAAAUGCGCAGAUAUCAGGAGGAACACCUAUUGCGAAGGCAGCUCGCUGGGACGUAACUGGACGCUGAGACGCGAAAGCGUGGGGAGCAAACAG